UACAGAGGUCUCAAGCGUUGUUCGGAUUCAUUGGGCGUAAAGGGUGCGUAGGUGGCGCCGUAAGUCAGGUGUGAAAUCUCAGGGCUCAACCCUGAAACUGCAUUCGAUACUGCGUGGCUAGAGUGCUGGAGAGGAGACUGGAAUUCCUGGUGUAGCGGUGAAAAUGCGCAGAUAUCGGGAGGAACACCAACGGCGAAGGCAGCACUCUGGGCUGGAACUGACGCUGAGGAGCGAAAGCGUGGGUAGCAAACAGG
rnacentral:rRNA from 1 species